rnacentral:rRNA from 1 species
AGCGAACGCUGGCGGCAGGCUUAACACAUGCAAGUCGAGCGGGCCUUUCGGGGUCAGCGGCGGACGUGUGAGUACCGCGUGGGAACGUGCCCUCUGGUUCCGAAUACCUCAGGUUAACUUGAGCUCAUACCGGAUACGCCCUUUUGGGGAAAGGCUUGCUGCCGGAGGGUCGGCCCGCGUCUGUUUAGCUAGUUGGUGAGGGAACGGCUCAGUAAGGCGUCGAUCCGUAGCUGGUAUGAGAGGAUGGUCAACCGCACUGGAACUGAGGCACGGCCUAGAAUCCUACGGGAGGCAGCAGUGGGGAAUAUUGGACAAGGGGGGCAAGCCUGAUCCAGCCAUGCCGCGGGAGAGAUGAAUGGCUUAGGGAUGUAAAGCUCUGUUAUCCGGGACGAUAAUGACGGUACCGGAUGAAGAAGCCCCGGCUAACUUCGUG